UUAAGUCUUCAGCUAAGCUCUGGAUAUGGACACCUGAACAAAUUUGAGGUUCAAUGUACAAAGAAGGAAAACAAAGGAGGUUGGGUUUCCUUGGCAAAACAGAGCUUCUUUUUCCCUCAAGAGUUCCAACACAGGUGGUGGGGAGAAUCUUCAUUGACCCAACUUCAGUUACAUGUCCUUCCUUGUACCAGUCACCGUUGCGUUCUAAUUGGCUAGACCAGACUCCAUCCUGUACCCACAUCUGGAGGUAUAAAGGCACACAUCCUAUGGCCCAACCCAGUGGUCACCCUUCUAAGGACCCUACCCUUAAGGAAGAGUCUGACUGUCUACUUCCAAGCCUACCCAUCUUCAAAGACCACCAGCUUAACUACCAUUUAUUUCCUCCAUGAAGCCUUCUUGUUUGCUCCCACCUGGAACCAACCUUCGAUCUGCCCUACCCCACCGAAAUGUUCUUUAUUAGCACCUCUUUCAUUGUCUCUUUACUUGGACCAUCUUCACCUCCCCUCUGAGACUCUAAAUUUGUUGAAAACAAGGGCCACAUCUUAUUCAUCUUUCUAUUUCCCAAAAGUCUGUUAAAAAUUUCCC